GGAAGGAAGAUUUCCUUUUAAGCUUCUCAUCAACCAGCUUUCAUUUCUUUCAAAUGUCACUUCUCAGUAACACCUUCCUAUAUUCUCUGUUGGGAGAAUUUGUAUCACAUGCACAAGGGGACCUGGAGCCUGGAAUACAAGGAAAAGUCUGGAAUGGAAUCAUACAACUGAACAGGACUCUCCUGCCGUGUCGCUGUGUGUCUGGUAAACAAAGUAGAACUCACAGCUAUAGGUCGGGCACUAGAAUCACGUCUGCAUCCAGCAGUCUGAGGUCUCCUUGACUUGCCUCUCCAGGUGUGGAAUCACUGCGUCAUGAGCUGGGGCAAAGGAGUUUGAGUCUCCAGUAUUCUCAAUGCUCAAGGCAGAGCCUUCCACAAAUGGGGCAGAAGAAUGGCACACACAGUUUGAAAAUCAUUUUGACAAGACUCGUUUUUAUACCACAUUCCAAUGUAAAAGGUAACUGAAGUAAUUCAUGUAACAUGGCUUGGAUCAGAGCAGACUAAUGAGUGAGUAGAAAUGUAUUAUGGAACUGCAGGUCAAGCACUAGAAAUUUUUGUCUGAAACAAGCACUGCACUGCCUCCUGGUGUGGGUGGCAUUCUACUUUUCCAAAGGAACCAGAGAAAGUAAAGGAAUACGAUUUGAUUAUUUUGGAUCUGUACUGUCACAGAUGAAAGAUUUUACUGUCAACUCUGAAAAAGCAACUUGUACCCACUGCAAACCUACCCGGCCGGAGGCUAUUAAAAGAUUCUGUGUGUUGAAUGUUUGAGGCCCAGGUUGGGAUUUCAUCUCAUGCUAUGGGAUUGGCUCACGGUUGCAAUUUACAGUUUGUGACCAUGAUAGCCAGCUGACCACAGAAGUGCUAAGGUGAGGGAAUGCCGAACAAGAGGAAAACCAGCGCUGGUCUCUGGAUCAAAAUUAACUACCAACAAAGAGUUAGGAAAUGGAUCAAUGGCCAGGGAAGCAUUUUGGUGACCACUGCCCAAAGCUGCAGCCCCAGUGCAGUUGCUGAUAACCUUGUCAGCCCUCCAAAUAAAGGCACAUCUUGUCACCCUCAGGCACCUGGGCCAGAGGUAAUAAAACGGUUGACUUAUAAGGGUGGAGUCAGUCAAACCUCAGCCUCCGUAAUUAAAGAAAACUGA